UUGAUCCUGGCUCAGGACGAACGCUGGCGGCGUGCCUAAUACAUGCAAGUCGAGCGAGCCGAACUAAUUGAUUACCUUCGGGUAUGAAGUUAGGGAAGCGAGCGGCGGAUGGGUGAGUAACAUGUGGGUAACCUACCCUAUAGUCUGGGAUACCACUUGGAAACAGGUGCUAAUACCGGAUAAAAGGAGAGAUCACAUGAUUUCUUUUUGAAAGGCGGCGUAAGCUGUCGCUAAAGGAUGGACCCGCGGUGCAUUAGCUAGUUGGUAAGGUAACGGCUUACCAAGGCAACGAUGCAUAGCCGAGUUGAGAGACUGAUCGGCCACAUUGGGACUGAGACACGGCCCAAACUCCUACGGGAGGCAGCAGUAGGGAAUCUUCCACAAUGGACGCAAGUCUGAUGGAGCAACGCCGCGUGAGUAAAGAAGGUUUUCGGAUCGUAAAGCUCUGUUGUGGUGGAAGAAAAGAUAGUGAGAAGUAACUGCUCAUUAUUUGGCCGGUAAUCAACCAGAAAGUCACGGCUAACUACGUGCCAGCAGCCGCGGUAAUACGUAGGUGGCAAGCGUUGUCCGGGAUUUAUUGGGCGUAAAGCGAGCGCAGGCGGAAAGAUAAGUCAGAUGUGAAAGCCCUCGGCUUAACCGAGGAAUAGCAUCGGAAACUGUCUUUCUUGAGUGCAGAAGAGGAGAGUGGAACUCCAUGUGUAGCGGUGGAAUGCGUAGAUAUAUGGAAGAACACCAGUGGCAAAAGCGGCUCUCUGGUCUGUAACUGACGCUGAGGCUCGAAAGCAUGGGUAGCGAACAGGAUUAGAUACCCUGGUAGUCCAUGCUGUAAACGAUGAGUGCUAAGUGUUGGGAGGUUUCCGCCUCUCAGUGCUGCAGCUAACGCAUUAAGCACUCCGCCUGGGGAGUACGACCGCAAGGUUAAAACUCAAAGGAAUUGACGGGGGCCCGCACAAGCGGUGGGAGCAUGGGUUUAAUUCGAAGCAACGCGAAGAACCUUACCAGGUCUUGAACAUCUAGUGCCAACCUAAGAAGAUUAGGCGUUUCCUCUUCGGGGACCACUAGACAGGUGGUGCAUGGCUGUCGUCAGCUCGUGUCGUGAGAUGUUGGGUUAAGUCCCGCAACGAGCGCAACCCUUAUUAUUAGUUGCCAGCAUUAAGUUGGGCACUCUAAUGAGACUGCCGGUGACAAACCGGAGGAAGGUGGGGAUGACGUCAAGUCAUCAUGCCCCUUAUGACCUGGGCUACACACGUGCUACAAUGGGCAGUACAACGAGGAGCGAACUUGUGAAGGCAAGCGAAUCUCUGAAAGCUGUUCUCAGUUCGGACUGUAGGCUGCAACUCGCCUACACGAAGCUGGAAUCGCUAGUAAUCGCGGAUCAGCACGCCGCGGUGAAU
rnacentral:rRNA from 1 species